AGCGAACGCUGGCGGCAGGCCUAACACAUGCAAGUCGAACGAAGUCUUCGGACUUAGUGGCGGACGGGUGAGUAACACGUGGGAACGUACCUUUUGGUUCGGAACAACUCAGGGAAACUUGAGCUAAUACCGGAUGAGCCCUUAGGGGGAAAGAUUUAUCGCCGAAAGAGCGGCCCGCGUUAGAUUAGCUAGUUGGUGAGGUAAAGGCUCACCAAGGCUACGAUCUAUAGCUGGUCUGAGAGGAUGAUCAGCCACACUGGGACUGAGACACGGCCCAGACUGUGACGGGAGGCAGCAGUGGGGAAUCUUGCGCAAUGGGCGAAAGCCUGACGCAGCCAUGCCGCGUGAAUGAUGAAGGUCUUAGGAUUGUAAAAUUCUUUUACCAGGGACGAUAAUGACGGUACCUGGAGAAAAAGCCCCGGCUAACUUCGUGCCAGCAGCCGCCGUAACAC
rnacentral:rRNA from 1 species